UCAUUCUCUGGGAAACAAAUCCCAUUGAGACCAUUUGUUGCAUCUCAGAAUCUUUCCGAUGAUGGGGAAAAGAGGUCAAUUUCUAGAAAGCAUAUGGAAACAUUUGAAAAGGAGCUUGUAAUGACAUCAGAUCAAGCAUCUAUGAACGAAUCAAGCAUGUAUGAAGAAUCAGCGAUUACCUAAGGGAUUUGUUUAUGUUCCUAUUCGAUGUCUUUUGAAGGAGAAAGAGACCGUCGCAAAUGCGUAUAAUGGCAAAUCAUUGGAACAUGAUGAGUAAACUUAAGGUAUAUCCUUUCCGGGUUUUGAUUACCCUGUUCGAAGCCGACAACCAUAUAUACCCCGUUAUAUGUUUUCUUCCUGGGUGGUGCCAUAUUUUUCUCAUUAUAUAGUGGAAGAAAAUGGAGGAUAUUUACACCGAGAUUCGAGUCCCAACCAGAACAUUCUUAUUAAGGGGUCAUUCUGGUUUGGGUAAGGAAGUUUUGGUGUCCUUGUUGUACAUUGUGAGAGCAAAUUGUACAGUGGGUUAGGGUUUGUUGCGUUGCAUGUAAUCAGGUGGCUCAAAUUGCUGUCUUGAUGCUUGUUUUCCAUGUGAAAAGGCAAAGUUAGAAGCUCUGCUUCUUGUACUCAAUACAUGAGAGUUAGAAGGUUGUUGCCUACUUUGCAGGCUCUUUAAAGUAUAGUGUAUAUAUUCUUACAGGGCAGCAUCAGUUUGAUAAAGGGUAAUUUAAAUUAUUUGACAAAAAAGUUUGCAUCUUGACUCGUCCUGUUCAGUUUUCAUGUUGGUUGCUUUGGCAGAUUCACUAGCGCUAAUUUUUUACAAGGUUGGUCCUAGUUAUAGGUCUCCUCAA